rnacentral:rRNA from 2 species
AGAGUUUGAUCCUGGCUCAGGACGAACGCUGGCGGCGUGCCUAAUACAUGCAAGUCGAGCGAACAGAAGGGAGCUUGCUCCCGGAUGUUAGCGGCGGACGGGUGAGUAACACGUGGGUAACCUGCCUGUAAGACUGGGAUAACUCCGGGAAACCGGAGCUAAUACCGGAUAGUUCCUUGAACCGCAUGGUUCAAGGAUGAAAGACGGUUUCGGCUGUCACUUACAGAUGGACCCGCGGCGCAUUAGCUAGUUGGUGGGGUAAUGGCUCACCAAGGCGACGAUGCGUAGCCGACCUGAGAGGGUGAUCGGCCACACUGGGACUGAGACACGGCCCAGACUCCUACGGGAGGCAGCAGUAGGGAAUCUUCCGCAAUGGACGAAAGUCUGACGGAGCAACGCCGCGUGAGUGAUGAAGGUUUUCGGAUCGUAAAGCUCUGUUGUUAGGGAAGAACAAGUGCGAGAGUAACUGCUCGCACCUUGACGGUACCUAACCAGA